UUGGGAAUCUUCCGCAAUGGGCGAAAGCCUGACGGAGCAACGCCGCGUGAGUGAAGACGGCCUUCGGGUUGUAAAACUCUGUGAUUCGGGACGAAAGAUAAGCAGACGAAUAAUCUGCAUAAGUGACGGUACCGAAAAAGCAAGCAACGGCUAACUACGUGCCAGCAGCCGCGGUAAUACGUAGGUGGCAAGCGUUGUCCGGAAUUAUUGGGCGUAAAGCGCGCGCAGGCGGCUACUUAAGUCCAUCUUAAAAGUGCGGGGCUUAACCCCGUGAUGGGAUGGAAACUGAGAAGCUGGAGUGUCGGAGAGGAAAGUGGAAUUCCUAGUGUAGCGGUGAAAUGCGUAGAGAUUAGGAAGAACACCGGUGGCGAAGGCGACUUUCUGGACGACAACUGACGCUUAGGCGCGAAAGCGUGGGGAGCAAACAGG
rnacentral:rRNA from 1 species